rnacentral:rRNA from 1 species
GAUGAAUGCUGGCGGCGCGCUUAACACAUGCAGGUCGAGCGGCAGCGCGAGUAGUUUACUACUUGGCGGCGAGCGGCGGACGGCUGAGUAACGCGUAGGAACGUGCCCCAAAGUGAGGAAUAACCGCCCGCAAGGGUGGCUAAUGCCGCAUAUGAUCUUCGGAUUAAAGGAUUUAUCCGCUUUGGGAGCGGCCUGCGUAUGAUUAGGUAGUUGGUGAGGUAAUGGCUCACCAAGCCGACGAUCAUUAGCUGGUCUGAGAGGAUGACCAGCCAGACUGGAACUGAGACACGGUCCAGACUCCUACGGGAGGCAGCAGUGAGGAAUCUUCCACAAUGGGCGAAAGCCUGAUGGAGCAACGCCGCGUGAAGGAUGAAGGCCCUCGGGUCGUAAACUUCUUUUAUAAGUGAAGAAUAUGACGGUAACUUAUGAAUAAGCACCGGCUAACUACGUGCCAGCCGCCGCAGUAA